CCUACGGGGGGCAGCAGUGAGGAAUAUUGGUCAAUGGACGCAAGUCUGAACCAGCCAUGCCGCGUGCAGGAAGACGGCUCUAUGAGUUGUAAACUGUUUUUGUACGAGGGUAAACGCAGAUACGCGUAUCUUUCUGCAAGUACCGUACGAGUAAGGAUCGGCUAACUCCGUGCCAGCAGAGGCGGUAAGACGGAGGAUUCAGGGGUUAUCCGGAUUUGUUGGGUUUAAGGGGUGCGUAGGCGGUCGGAUAAGUGAGAUGUGAAAUCCCGAGGCUCAACUUCGGAAUUGCCUCUGAUACUGUUAGGCUAGAGAGUAGUAGCGGUAGGCAGAAUGUAUGGUGUAGCGGUGAAAUGCUUAGAGAUC
rnacentral:rRNA from 1 species